AUCACAGUUUAUGGUGUUUAGAGCGGAGGAAUCAUGGGAGGAAAAGUAUGUGUAUUACACAGAAGAUAUUGGAGAUCUUUGCAUCUUUCUUGGACAUAGUGAGGCUUUCUGUAUCCAGGCCAGUUCGGGCUCAAGCCUAACUGCAUCUAUUUUGUGGGCUAUAACUUUGGUAUUUAUGAUCUCACCACCAAACCUUGCACUACUUUCUACACAGAAGAGGAUGUUCCAUUAAGGAACUUGGAAUUCCCUUACUGGCCACCUCCAG